GAGUUUGAUCGUGGCUCAGAGCGAACGCUGGCGGCAGGCUUAACACAUGCAAGUCGAGCGGGCGUAGCAAUACGUCAGCGGCAGACGGGUGAGUAACGCGUGGGAACGUACCUUUUGGUUCGGAACAACCCAGGGAAACUUGGGCUAAUACCGGAUAAGCCCUUACGGGGAAAGAUUUAUCGCCGAAAGAUCGGCCCGCGUCUGAUUAGCUAGUUGGUGAGGUAAUGGCUCACCAAGGCGACGAUCAGUAGCUGGUCUGAGAGGAUGAUCAGCCACAUUGGGACUGAGACACGGCCCAAACUCCUACGGGAGGCAGCAGUGGGGAAUAUUGGACAAUGGGCGCAAGCCUGAUCCAGCCAUGCCGCGUGAGUGAUGAAGGCCCUAGGGUUGUAAAGCUCUUUUUGUGCGGGAAGAUAAUGACGGUACCGCAAGAAUAAGCCCCGGCUAACUUCGUGCCAGCAGCCGCGGUAAU
rnacentral:rRNA from 1 species